AACGAACGCUGGCGGCAGGCUUAACACAUGCAAGUCGAACGCCCCGCAAGGGGAGUGGCAGACGGGUGAGUAACGCGUGGGAAUCUACCCAGUUCUACGGAACAACUGAGGGAAACUUCAGCUAAUACCGUAUACGCCCUAAGGGGGAAAGAUUUAUCGGAAUUGGAUGAGCCCGCGUUAGAUUAGCUAGUUGGUGGGGUAACGGCCUACCAAGGCGACGAUCUAUAGCUGGUCUGAGAGGAUGAUCAGCCACACUGGGACUGAGACACGGCCCAGACUCCUACGGGAGGCAGCAGUGGGGAAUAUUGGACAAUGGGCGCAAGCCUGAUCCAGUCAUGCCGCGUGAGUGACGAAGGCCUUAGGGUUGUAAAGCUCUUUCAGUAGGGACGAUAAUGACGGUACCUACAGAAGAAGCCCCGGCUAACUUCGUGCCAGCCGCCGCGGUAAUAC
rnacentral:rRNA from 1 species